rnacentral:tRNA from 1 species
GGUGGCUCAGUGGUAGAGUGCUUGUCUUACAGGUAUGAGGCCCUGGGUUCGAUUCCUCAGCACCA